GGUGAUUGUUAGCAUCACAAAGCAGAGUAAAUUCAGCUCUGAGUCAUGGUAUCAUGAGUAGAACCACUUCAACCAGCUACCUGAUCAGAUACUUAGUAUGUAGAUGGAGAUCACACUUCAUGGUCCUGCCAUGUUAAAUGGUCUGACUUGGCUAGUCACUGCUUCUUGGUCAAGAAUUUACCAUCUGAGCCACCAGGGAAGCCCCUAGUAGGUAGCACAGCACUGUUCAAAAUGCAGAGGUGUCUGAAAAAUCCAAUGCAGAUAAAUCUCCAGUUCUACACAGAGCACUAGAAGAAAAUCUUAUUUUUGCCUAAUGGCUGGAGUUUUUACUAAUAAUACCUGGUUUUGCAUAUGGCUUUCUCUAGAUAUAUCAAAAUACAGCAAGACCACAACCUGGGGUAAGUACCAAAGAAAUAGUAGAUAAAUAUUGUUUGCAAAAUGAAGAGUGGAGGUCAGAGCUUGGGGUGAUGUCAAUUAAUGUAUGUCCAAAUAUAAUUUCACACAAAUGCAGUAAAUUGGAGUUCUGAAAUGGGAAGCAAAACAAGGACCAGGCAGAGAUGUAUGAGUUAGCUGGUGUCAUGAACUCAAGGAAGAAAUGUGAACCGUUCAUCUUAAUUCCAGCAGAAGUCCAGCUGAUUUGUAGUUGUUUUUCUAUCGCCAGAGCAUGCCUUCUCACUCCAUAUUUUUAAAGCUGCUGGAAGCACAACCGACUUUAGAGUUUGCCCUCUUAGGCUUGUUUUUUUUAAGAUUAUUUCCAUGCUUUAUACAACUGCUCUGUUAGUUAUAGCCAGUCAUGAUUCAUUAAGACCACAGCAGUGGAUUUUGAAAGUAAUUCAUCUGUUUUCCUUUUAUUCCAUCUCACUCUGUAUUUGCUUAGGAGUCCUGCAGGUGGCUGGCUGGUCAAGCUGGAAGAGUAGGGUUUGGGUGAUGUCUGCUUCUGAGUCACAUUCCGGGACAUGACAAUUCCAUGACCAGAGUUACCACUGAAGAGAGCCAAGACAAUGAGUGGAAUCAGACCAUGCGUGGGGCCAAGAUAAACUGGGCUAACACUCCAACUGUUCAGAAUGGCUUGGUGCCUGGACACCACCCCUGUGAACACCCAGCUCCCUAGGCCCUGCCCUGCCUUUCUGGUAGGCGAGAUUUCCCCACAUGCUACCACCCCACCAAACCACAUCUAGCAAGGCAGAAGCUUGAGUAUGUUAUGAUAUUACAGCAUUCUUAUAAUAUUUCCCUGUGUCUUCUUGAGUUUAUUUUCUUUUCAAGAAACUUUAUUUGAACAUGGUUCAAAAAUCAGAACUAUACAAAGGUGCACUGAGUAGUGUCACUUUUUUCUGUCCCCAUCCACCACUUUCUCCCCCCUCACUAUAAGCCAUCACUGAAUUUCUGCUUGCCUUUUAUUCUGUUUAGCUUUAUAUUUUUAUGCAUAUACGAGUAAAUAUUCUCAUACUUCUAUUUUUGAUACGAAAGAUCGAGCUUAUUCUGCUACAUUUUGCUGUGUUUUUUUUUUUUUUUUUUUCAUUUAAAAAUAUACUGUAGAGGACCUCCUUGGUUGUCCAGUCAUUAAGAAUCCACAUGCCAGUGAAGGGGACACAGGUUGGAUCCUUGGUCAGAGAAGAUCCUACAUGCCAUAGGGCAACUAAUUCCUCAAGCCAAAAAGACUGAAGCCUGCACACCUAGAACCUAUGCUCUGCAACAAGAGGAGCCACCACAGUGAGAAUUCCAUGCAUGGCAACUAGAGAAAGUACAUGUGUAGCAAUGAAGACCCAGCACAGCCAAAAAUUAACUAAUUAAUUAAAUUAUAUAUAUAGGUAUAUAUACCAAAAUAUUUAUAUUUAAUACCUAUAUGUAUUACUCAAUGAAACUCAGCCAUGCCCCUGGGGCCACCCAAGAUGGGCGGGUCAUGGUGGAGAGGUCUGACAGAAUGUGGUCCACUGGAGAAGGAAAUGGCAAACCACUUCAG
ensembl:lncRNA